GACGAACGCUGGCGGCGUGCUUAACACAUGCAAGUCGAACGGAAAGGCCCUGCUUUUGUGGGGUGCUCGAGUGGCGAACGGGUGAGUAACACGUGAGUAACCUGCCCUUGACUUUGGGAUAACUUCAGGAAACUGGGGCUAAUACCGGAUAGGAGCUCCUGCUGCAUGGUGGGGGUUGGAAAGUUUCGGCGGUUGGGGAUGGACUCGCGGCUUAUCAGCUUGUUGGUGGGGUAGUGGCUUACCAAGGCUUUGACGGGUAGCCGGCCUGAGAGGGUGACCGGCCACAUUGGGACUGAGAGACGGCCCAGACUCCUACGGGAGGCAGCAGUGGGGAAUAUUGCACAAUGGGCGGAAGCCUGAUGCAGCAACGCCGCGUGCGGGAUGACGGCGUUCGGGUUGUAAACCGAUUUCGCCUGUGACGAAGCGUGAGUGACGGUAAUGGGUAAAGAAGCACCGGCUAACUACGUG
rnacentral:rRNA from 1 species